UGUGUUGUAUGUUGUGUACAACAAUGUGACAAGGUUAGCUAAAUAUGUCGGUUUUCUACAGGACAGUUUUCAUUUGUGUACAAGCAGCAUUUUACAUCCACACAAGAGUAUUGUUUUGAUUAUUAUUAUGUAAUAACUGACCAGUUUAUGAAACAUUUCCCACCUUUCUGGGACAUAUCACAACUAACAACUGAAAACAAAAACUGUUUCAAAUCAUGAAUAUGUUGACAUAUUUCGUUUCCACUCUGUAAAAAAAAUAUUUUAAAUACCCAUAUGUAGAGGGUAGAAAUUAAAACACAAUAUUUGUAGCUGUAAAAUAGACAUGUUGAUAUAAGGGUGGGGGUUGCACACUUCAUUUUCACCCGUUUUCACGAGAGUUUUUAUGGUCAUUUAAUACACUUUCAGGACACAAGAGGGGGUCGCAACCCUGCACACACACACCCAUCCCCCAACCACCCACCCCCUCUGGAUCCCCCUAUGUGGAUGUGCCACGAGCUUUAAGCCAAUUCUAAUGCCAGGCUGUAUGAUUACACAAUCUAUAUUUGUGGCCAGUUUCUGUAUCCAAAUUCUGCCUUUAUCACCAUGGCAUAACUUGAUAUUCAAUAACUACAGCCAACAACCCGCUAUGUUGAACUCAGAUCUGUCUUAGUAAUUUACAAGGCAUACCCAGUGGGGUAAAUCAUCACCAAAUUUCCGCUGUUGAGAACUACUUGUAUUUAAGUGGUAUGUCAAGUCGACAGGUCAAAUGUUAUUACAUGUUAUUAAAUGUAUGUAAUACUACAUACAUCAGUGCCAAUACUUUAUAUUUUUCUUUAUAUUUUUCUAUGAAUUAUCAAUUUUGUUUAUGCAAUGUGACCCCAAACUACGUUGCUUUUAUAUAAAUCUGUCGAGAGGUUGAAUGACUAAUCUUUCAAGGACUAGUGUGCAUCUUUAGACUCUGAAUAGCUGUCAUUUAUAAAUCUCAAAAAUAUUUGUUGACCUGUGAAAUAUAUCAUCCAUUUAACAUAGGUUUUCAUUAUAAACGGUUAACAAUGGUUGGGGUGUCAGUAAUAAUCUAGAAUAAUUUUACA